rnacentral:rRNA from 1 species
CAAAUGACUCUCGGCAAUGGAUAUCUCGGCUCUUGCAUCGAUGAAGAACGUAGUGAAAUGCGAUACUUGGUGUGAAUUGCAGAAUCUCGUGAACCAUUGAGUCUUUGAACGCAAGUUGUGCCCGAGGCCUUGUGGUCGAGGGCACGCCUGCUUGGGCGUCAUCA